GAUUAGCUAGUUGGUAAGGUAACGGCUUACCAAGGCGACGAUCAGUAGCCGACCUGAGAGGGUGAUCGGCCACAUUGGAACUGAGACACGGUCCAAACUCCUACGGGAGGCAGCAGUGGGGAAUAUUGCACAAUGGGCGAAAGCCUGAUGCAGCAACGCCGCGUGAGUGAUGAAGGCCUUCGGGUCGUAAAACUCUGUCCUCAAGGAAGAUAAUGACGGUACUUGAGGAGGAAGCCCCGGCUAACUACGUGCCAGCAGCCGCGGUAAUACGUAGGGGGCUAGCGUUAUCCGGAUUUACUGGGCGUAAAGGGUGCGUAGGCGGUCUUUCAAGUCAGGAGUGAAAGGCUACGGCUCAACCGUAGUAAGCUCUUGAAACUGGGAGACUUGAGUGCAGGAGAGGAGAGUGGAAUUCCUAGUGUAGCGGUGAAAUGCGUAGAUAUUAGGAGGAACACCAGUUGCGAAGGCGGCUCUCUGGACUGUAACUGACGCUGAGGCACGAAAGCGUGGGGAGCAAACAGGAUUAGAUACCCUGGUAGUCCACGCUGUAAACGAUGAGUAC
rnacentral:rRNA from 1 species